GACGAACGCUGGCGGCGUGCCUAAUACAUGCAAGUUGAGCGAUGAAGAUUGGUGCUUGCACCAAUUUGAAGAGCAGCGCACGGGUGAGUAACGCGUGGGGAAUCUGCCUUUGAGCGGGGGACAACAUUUGGAAACGAAUGCUAAUACCGCAUAACAACUUUAAACAUAAGUUUUAAGUUUGAAAGAUGCAAUUGCAUCACUCAAAGAUGAUCCCGCGUUGUAUUAGCUAGUUGGUGAGGUAAAGGCUCACCAAGGCGAUGAUACAUAGCCGACCUGAGAGGGUGAUCGGCCACAGUGGGACUGAGACACGGCCCAAACUCCUACGGGAGGCAGCAGGAGGGAAUCUUCGGCAAUGGACGAAAGUCUGACCGAGCAACGCCGCGUGAGUGAAGAAGGGUUUCGGAUCGUAAAACUCUGUUGGUAGAGAAGAACGUUGGUGAGAGUGGAAAGCUCAUCAAGUGACGGUAACUACCCAGAAAGGGACGGCUAACUACGUG
rnacentral:rRNA from 1 species